UACGUAGGCAGCGAGCGUUGUUCGGAGUUACUGGGCGUAAAGGGUGUGUAGGCGGUUGUUUAAGUUUGGUGUGAAAUCUCCCGGCUCAACUGGGAGGGUGCGCCGAAUACUGAAUGACUAGAGUGCGGGAGAGGUGAGUGGAAUUCCUGGUGUAGCGGUGAAAUGCGUAGAUAUCAGGAGGAACACCUGCGGUGUAGACGGCUUACUGGACCAUAACUGACGCUGAGGCACGAAAGCGUGGGUAGCAAACAGG
rnacentral:rRNA from 1 species